rnacentral:lncRNA from 1 species
AGUAUCAAUUGGUAAAUUUAUUUUUAAUAUUAAAUCUCUCCACUCUCUAUUUGACAUUUUUAUCAUAUAACCUACUAAGUCAAAACUAAUGCACAUUUUUUUUUCUAAUGCACUUUUUUUUUCUAUUCUACUCUAUAAAAUAAGUUUAGAUAAUAAAGGUUUUACUAUAUUAUAAUGAGAAAUAACAAAGAUCUCAAAAGGU